CACACUAGUGGGUCAGGGACAAGGAAUCCACAGGGGUCAGGAGUCCAGGAGCCGGGGGGGUGAAUGGGCAAAGGGAGAUCUGUGGGGGUCUCAGGGGACAAACAGACGACAGGGACAAAAUCCACCAACCAGAGGCUGAGUCGUGAAACGGUCCAGGGUCAAGCACGGGAGGGUCUCAGGCAAUGAAAAUCCAGAAUCCAGAAGGCAGGAGGCAGGGUCAGAGACAGGCAGGGUUCAGCAACAGGACUUUCAACAGCAGAAGGAUUAGGCAAAAAUCUUUUUAGAUCAUCUGUGUUG